AUUGCCCUAGUAACGGCGAGUGAAGCGGCAACAGCUCAAAUUUGAAAGCUAGCCUUCGGGUUCGCAUUGUAAUUUGUAGAGGAUGAUUUGGGGAAGCCGCCUGUCUAAGUUCCUUGGAACAGGACGUCAUAGAGGGUGAGAAUCCCGUAUGUGACAGGAAAUGGCACCCUAUGUAAAUCUCCUUCGACGAGUCGAGUUGUUUGGGAAUGCAGCUCUAAAUGGGAGGUAAAUUUCUUCUAAAGCUAAAUAUUGGCGAGAGACCGAUAGCGCACAAGUAGAGUGAUCGAAAGAUGAAAAGCACUUUGGAAAGAGAGUUAAAAAGCACGUGAAAUUGUUGAAAGGGAAGCGCUUGCAAUCAGACUUGUUUAAACUGUUCGGCCGGUCUUCUGACCGGUUUACUCAGUUUGGACAGGCCAGCAUCAGUUUCGGCGGCCGGAUAAAGGCUCUGGGAAUGUGGCCUCCACUUCGGUGGAGGUGUUAUAGCCCAGGGUGUAAUACGGCCAGCCGGGACUGAGGUCCGCGCUUCGGCUAGGAUGCUGGCGUAAUGGUUGUAAGCGACCCGUCUUGAAACACGGACCAAGGAGUCUAACAUCUAUGCGAGUGUUCGGGUGUCAAACCCCUGCGCGUAAUGAAAGUGAACGGAGGUGGGAACCCGCAAGGGUGCACCAUCGACCGAUCCUGAUGUCUUCGGAUGGAUUUGAGUAAGAGCAUAGCUGUUGGGACCCGAAAGAUGGUGAACUAUGCCUGAAUAGGGUGAAGCCAGAGGAAACUCUGGUGGAGGCUCGCAGCGGUUCUGACGUGCAAAUCGAUCGUCAAAUUUGGGUAUAGGGGCGAAAGACUAAUCGA
rnacentral:rRNA from 1 species